rnacentral:rRNA from 1 species
UACGGGGGGAGCAAGCGUUGUUCGGAUUUACUGGGCGUAAGGGCGCGUAGGCGGCCAGCACAAGUCAGUUGUGAAAUCUCCGAGCUUAACUCGGAAAGGUCAACUGAUACUGUGCGGCUAGAGUGCGGAAGGGGCAACUGGAAUUCUUGGUGUAGCGGUGAAAUGCGUAGAUAUCAAGAGGAACACCUGCGGCGAAGGCGGGUUGCUGGGCCGACACUGACGCUGAGGCGCGAAAGCCAGGGGAGCGAACGGG